CUAGCAUUCUGUCAUUUAUUUAUGAACCUAGCCUUCUGUCAUUUAUUAUGGACGAGUUAAUAUUUAAGAAAUAAUACAAACUCUUAGGUGUGGCCACUAGCAAUGCAGUUUCAUCUAAAGUGGUAAAUGGUGCCUUUGUAUUCAAAUUAAAUAGUUCCUGAUAAUGAAGAAACCGAAGCAACUUGGUUUAUCUAUGUUCCUUUUUUUAAUCUUCGUAGAUGGAAUGCGUUCCUACAAGAAUAACACAUGUUUGAUUUUAGCAGGCUCAAAAACAGAGGCUGUUCCGUCUUCUCCUAAUCCAGACAAGCUGGCCCCUCUUCAUUGGUGCCCGUAGUAAAUUCAAAUUUGGUAGUGACACUGCAUGCCUAAAACUCUCCUGUAGGUUGGUUCAUUGAUUUAGAUUGAUAUAAUUGUCCAAGAAGCCAAUUAAUUGAUUUGGAAUCUAUAUAUUGUGGUGCAUUAUCUAAGCUUGCACUGUUAGUGUCGUUUAAAAAUAUCUCUUGCUUUUAAAAUAGUAUUAGUAAAAUGGCUAAAGUGCACAUGAGAGUCUAAAUCAGUUUAAAUCAUAACAGUCUCAUGUUUUCUUCAAAGAAUUUUGUGGUUGCAUAAAUAAAUCGCGAGGAAGAUUUGGAUGUAAGCACCCAUCUUUCAUGAGAUAGACCUAAGUUGUACAUUUGAAUUCUUCUCUGUUUAUACUCUGCCAAGUUAUCUCAAGCAUAUGAUUUUACUUUGGUACAGGUUGAUUAUAUUACUGGAUGCAUAUGCAUAAAUCAGAGGAUAAGCAGCGGAAGGACAAGUUGUAUUUUUCGAGAUGUUCUCUUCUUCUUUAUUUUACAUGUUAAAGCAUGGACCUUCUUGCUCAGGAAUGAUACAAUCAAUCCAACUGUUACCUUUGGGGUGCUUUUUGGAUGGACUAAUCUGAAGAUGUUGGCUAGCUUGCACCGCCAUCAUAUAAUCUAGAAGCAAGGGCAAGGAUUAUAGGGAAAAUAAAGGCAAUUCGCCAACCGGAGGAAAUGCCAACCAAUACAUUUUUGUACUUCCUCUGUUACAGAGUUCGUUCAGGCCUUAGGGACGCUUUCCAUCACUGUCCAUCAACAAGUUCAACUCCGACAACGGUUCACCGAUAAUGUCGGCCGGUGCACCACGUCAGCAACGUCGACGGCCUGACAGGCCAUUUUCCAACUGGGCCUAUUGUAAAUGACGAGACCAUGAGUUUCUCCUUUUGGAGUUUACUUCUACGAGUGCUCACUCCCUGCAUCUUGUUCUGUUUUUUGUUCUAUUUUUCAGAAAAUGAAGAUAUACUUUGCCGUUCCACUAAUCUCGGCAAAAGAGUAGAUUAUGGUGCCCCUCGUGCUACAGUGGAAUUGAAUCACAAAAAAUUCUAUAGAUUCAUCAAACAAUGAAGGAGGUUAGUUUUUACCUGAGGGGCAACGGCGGCCACCGUGGUCUUGCUGGAGCCUCGCUUGCAGUCGAAAGUCAUCAGCUUCAGGGAGUGCUAGCACAGCCAAAAUAGACGCCACCUUCGACGGGGAGCAACAGCAACAACUGCGAGGAUUUGGCUCGCCGAUACGAGCAACGGCGGCGACAUACCCGCUUCCGCAACUCCGAGCUGCUGGUCCACCGAGAUGCACAUGGAGCCGGCGAGCCGUUGUGCCUCCAAGCUGCCGGGCCACCGAGAUGCAGAUGUAGCCGCAGCGCCUCUGAGCUGCAGCGAGAGCCGCUCCGCUGCCAAGCUGUAGAGUGAGCUGCCGUGAAGAUGGAGCCGUGCUUUCUCUCCAGUACGAGUACAGUGGGGAGAGGGGAACGAAUCCAAUGAAACUGGUCGAUGGAACCAAGACCAACAGUCUUCCGGAACCGACAUAUGAGAAACUAGAUCGCGUUUUAAUGGAUACCGACUGGGAAUCUAAUUUUCAUGGUGUCUGUUCGUGCUCUACCUCGUAUUGAGGCUAUAUCAGACCACGCACCCAUUCUCUUAACUACUGGUUUGCCACGACCACAACAUAGACGCAAGUUCAAAUUUGAACUUGGGUGGUUGCUUUGGGGUGGCUUCCAAGAUAUGGUCAAGGAGGUGUGGGAGAAACCAGUGGUCGGGCAUACCCCAAUUCACAGAUGGAAUAACAAAAUGCGUGCAUUACGCAAAUUCCUUGGUGGUUGGGCUAGGCAUACGGUGCGUAUCCUCAAAAAGGAGAAGCUUCGUCUUUCAUCUAUCAUUGACGAGUUAGAAGCUUUGGCAGAGGUUAGACAUUUAUCUGAGCAUGAAAUCAAGAUCAAGAGUCAUUCGAAUGCACAGAGAGCUAGCAUGCUGCGUGAAGAGGAACUCAAAUGGUACCAGCAUUCCAACUCUCAGUUUAUCCUGAAAGGUGAUUCGAAUACUAGAUAUUUCCAUGGAGUCGUCAAUGGUAGACACCGGAAGAAAAUUAUUCAUUCCCUACAACAGGACGAGGGCACGAUUGAGGGGCAUGAGCAACUUAAAUCCUACAUCACUAAUUAUUAUAAAAAUCUGUUCGGAGCCCCAGAGGAAGAAAACUUCUCGAUGGAUGAGUCCCGAACAGAUGACAUCCCCCAGGUCUCUAAUGAGGAAAAUGGACUUCUAACAGCCCCGUACACCGAGGAGGAAGUUAGAAAUGCAGUUUUCUUAAUGGAGCACAACAAAGCCCCAGGUCCGGAUGGUUUUCCCGCUGAGUUCUAUCAGAACUUCUGGGAAGUCAUCAAACCGGAUCUCCUACUUUUGUUUAGUGACCUACAUGCUGGCCAACUAGAAUUGUUUUGCUUAA